rnacentral:rRNA from 1 species
AUUCUGGUUGAUCCUGCCAGAGGUCAUUGCUAUUGGAGUUCGAUUUAGCCAUGCUAGUUGUACGAGCUUAGACUCGUAGCGGAAAGCUCAGUAACACGUGAUCAAACUACCCUAUAGAUCAGAAUACUCUCGGGAAACUGAGGCUAAUACUGAAUAACGCUCCUUUGCUGGAAUUGCAAGGAGCCGGAAACGCUCCGGCGCUAUAGGAUGUGAUUGCGGCCGAUUAGGUAGACGGUGGGGUAACGGCCCACCGUGCCGAUAAUCGGUAC